rnacentral:rRNA from 1 species
AGGGGAAUAGCCUUUCGAAAGGAAGAUUAAUACUCCAUAAUAUUUUAGAUGGCAUCAUUUAAUAUUGAAAACUCCGGUGGAUAGAGAUGGGCACGCGCAAGAUUAGAUAGUUGGUGAGGUAACGGCUCACCAAGUCAAUGAUCUUUAGGGGUCCUGAGAGGGAGAUCCCCCACACUGGUACUGAGACACGGACCAGACUCCUACGGGAGGCAGCAGUGGGGAAUAUUGGACAAUGGGUGAAAGCCUGAUCCAGCCAUCCCGCGUGAAGGAUUAAGGUCCUAUGGAUUGUAAACUUCUUUUGUAUAGGAAUAAACCUAGAUACGUGUAUCUAGCUGAAGGUACUAUACGAAUAAGCACCGGCUAACUCCGUGCCAGCAGCCGCGGUAAUACGGAGGGUGCAAGCGUUAUCCGGAUUUAUUGGGUUUAAAGGGUCCGCAGGCGGACCGACAAGUCAGUGGUGAAAUCUCAUAGCUUAACUAUGAAACUGCCAUUGAUACUGUCGGUCUUGAGUAAAUUAGAGGUAGCUGGAAUAAGUAGUGUAGCGGUGAAAUGCAUAGAUAUUACUUAGAACACCAAUUGCGAAGGC